rnacentral:misc_RNA from 1 species
GAUGAAGAACGCAGCGAAAUGCGAUAAGUAGUGUGAAUUGCAGAAUUCAGUGAAUCAUCGAAUCUUUGAACGCACAUUGCGCCCCUUGGUAUCCCGAGGGGCAUGCCUGUUCGAGCGUCAUUUCACCACUCAAGCCUGGCUUGGUGUUGGGCGACGUCCUCUUUGGGGACGCGCCUCGAAACGCUCGGCGGCGUGGCACCGGCUUUAAGCGUAGCAGAAUCUUUCGCUUUGGAAGUCGGGGCCCCGUCUGCCGGAAGACCUGCUCGCAAGGUUGACCUCGGAUCAGGCAGGGAUACCCGCUGAACUUAAACAUAUCAAUAAGCGGAGGA